UACGUAGGGUGCAAGCGUUGUCCGGAUUUAUUGGGCGUAAAGAGCGUGUAGGCGGCUUGGCAAGUCCGCUGUGAAAACUCGAGGCUUAACCUCGAGACGUCGGUGGAAACUGCCUGGCUAGAGUCCGGAAGAGGAGAGUGGAAUUCCUGGUGUAGCGGUGAAAUGCGCAGAUAUCAGGAAGAACACCCGUGGCUAAGGCGGCUCUCUAGUACGGUACUGACGCUGAGACGCGAAAGCGUGGGGAGCGAACAGG
rnacentral:rRNA from 1 species